AAGUGAGAAUGCCGGUGUGAGUAGCGAAAGACGGGUGAGAAUCCCGUCCACCGAUUGACUAAGGUUUCCAGAGGAAGGCUCGUCCGCUCUGGGUUAGUCGGGUCCUAAGCUGAGGCCGACAGGCGUAGGCGAUGGAUAACAGGUUGAUAUUCCUGUACCACCUAUAAUCGUUUUAAUCGAUGGGGGGACGCAGUAGGAUAGGCGAAGCGUGCGAUUGGAUUGCACGUCUAAGCAGUAAGGCUGAGUAUUAGGCAAAUCCGGUACUCGUUAAGGCUGAGCUGUGAUGGGGAGAAGACAUUGUGUCUUCGAGUCGUUGAUUUCACACUGCCGAGAAAAGCCUCUAGAUAGAAAAUAGGUGCCCGUACCGCAAACCGACACAGGUAGUCAAGAUGAGAAUUCUAAGGUGAGCGAGCGAACUCUCGUUAAGGAACUCGGCAAAAUGACCCCGUAACUUCGGGAGAAGGGGUGCUCUUUAGGGUUAACGCCCAGAAGAGCCGCAGUGAAUAGGCCCAAGCGACUGUUUAUCAAAAACACAGGUCUCUGCUAAACCGUAAGGUGAUGUAUAGGGGCUGACGCCUGCCCGGUGCUGGAAGGUUAAGAGGAGUGGUUAGCUUCUGCGAAGCUACGAAUCGAAGCCCCAGUAAACGGCGGCCGUAACUAUAACGGUCCUAAGGUAGCGAAAUUCCUUGUCGGGUAAGUUCCGACCCGCACGAAAGGCGUAACGAUUUGGGCACUGUCUCAACGAGAGACUCGGUGAAAUCAUAGUACCUGUGAAGAUGCAGGUUACCCGCGACAGGACGGAAAGACCCCGUGGAGCUUUACUGUAGCCUGAUAUUGAAAUUCGGCACAGCUUGUACAGGAUAGGUAGGAGCCUUUGAAACGUGAGCGCUAGCUUACGUGGAGGCGCUGGUGGGAUACUACCCUAGCUGUGUUGGCUUUCUAACCCGCACCACUUAUCGUGGUGGGAGACAGUGUCAGGCGGGCAGUUUGACUGGGGCGGUCGCCUCCUAAAAGGUAACGGAGGCGCUCAAAGGUUCCCUCAGAAUGGUUGGAAAUCAUUCAUAGAGUGUAAAGGCAUAAGGGAGCUUGACUGCGAGACCUACAAGUCGAGCAGGGUCGAAAGACGGACUUAGUGAUCCGGUGGUUCCGCAUGGAAGGGCCAUCGCUCAACGGAUAAAAGCUACCCCGGGGAUAACAGGCUUAUCUCCCCCAAGAGUUCACAUCGACGGGGAGGUUUGGCACCUCGAUGUCGGCUCAUCGCAUCCUGGGGCUGUAGUCGGUCCCAAGGGUUGGGCUGUUCGCCCAUUAAAGCGGUACGCGAGCUGGGUUCAGAACGUCGUGAGACAGUUCGGUCCCUAUCCGUCGUGGGCGUAGGAAAUUUGAGAGGAGCUGUCCUUAGUACGAGAGGACCGGGAUGGACAUACCUCUGGUGUACCAGUUGUCGUGCCAACGGCAUAGCUGGGUAGCUAUGUGUGGACGGGAUAAGUGCUGAAAGCAUCUAAGCAUGAAGCCCCCCUCAAGAUGAGAUUUCCCAACUUCGGUUAUAAGAUCCCUCAAAGAUGAUGAGGUUAAUAGGUUCGAGGUGGAAGCAUGGUGAC
rnacentral:rRNA from 1 species